CCCCCUCACAGACACCUCUUUCUCACCUCUCUCACCCCUCGUCAUUUCCGCCGCCAAAAAUUGCCUCACGGUGGCGGGUAAUCACCAAAAGACCCCAUUUCUUCACCCUACAGUCCCCAGCCCGUCCUCGUUCCAUCUAUCAUUCAUUUUCUCAAAAAUCCAACGGAAUUCCACUAUUAGUAGAUCUAAGAUUGGCCAAAGUACCAAAAUCCUUUCUCUUCGUCUGUUGCUUAAAUCCCAGGCCUGUUUGGUGUUGAAAUCGAUCCCAAUCAGUAGCCAUUGGCUUGAAUCUUCAAUUGGAGGGGUGGUUCCAGUCCUUUCACGACUGCUAGAAGAUGGCCAAAUCGCCCCGAACCGGCCCAAAGCACCUCGAGUCAUCUGAUAUCUAUUCCUUCGACUGGCAAGAUGUAUUUUAACAUGAAGCAUUGGCCCCUGAAGAGAUUCCGGCUAGUGCUCGUGUAACAAUCCCUCCGUCUCGCCGGAAUUCAUUUGGCCGCAUUAUUUUGAACCCCGGAUAGUUCUUUUAAAUGCAGAUUUCAAUAACAUGACAUGCUUGCGGACUUCAUGCUCAGAUCCUAAAAUGUUGUCUGACUUUGAAAUAAUGAAUCAAGAAUUAGAUUGCAAUGAAGAUAAGUUUAAGGAAAUAAAACAAAGAGUUGGAACAACUAAGAAAAAUUGGCUCCAGAUUGGAAAGAUCCAUACAUGGUAACAAGGGUACUGCCAAAGAGAGCGUUGCACCUGGAAAAUAUCGAAGGAAAUAUCCUGAAACAAUUGUCAAUGCAAAUGCAGCCAAAAGGUUUUUACCAUAAGGCACGAGGUUUGAGAUGACCAAAAGAAGAAGUCUCAAUCCAAAUAAAAGAAAAGAAAAGAAAAACCAGAAAAGAAGUUGAGCUCUAAGUGCAGAAGCGGAUAAAAAUGUGGACUGCUCAAGACAUAAUUGAAGUCACAAGCUUUGCAUGUCCCGCUUUGAUCCGAGAAUUUGAAAAAGGAAUGAACCAACACCUGUAGCUAACGAGCAUCAAUAUUCAGAUCAGAGUUUGCAGGAAGAACCAGCCAAGACUCAAGAUCAAUCUUUAGAAGGUUUAUAGAUAAGAAUUUUGUAACUCAUGGUUGAUAGGCGUAGCUAGUUUAGUUUUUCAUCUUUCAUUUUGGUGUAAUAAGGAGCUCAACAAGAAGAAACAACAUCAACAACAGUGAAAUCACAGUUUCUCGGUAGUCCUAACUACCAAAACUUUCAGAACUA